rnacentral:rRNA from 1 species
AUUUGUGCACAAUUUAAUUGCUUCAUUAAAUAAAUAAAAUUAUAAUUACUGUUAAGUCCCCCUUCGACGUUAUUUUAAAAUAACAUGUUCGAUAGUAAUUAAAAUUGUAACUCGCCAUUACCAAAAAAUUGUCUGCACCUUGAUCUGUCUUUUUAAUAAGGAAUUAUGUUGGUAAAACUUCUAGUGUUACCUGACGACGACGGCAUACAAGAAUUUUCCUUGGUUAGUUUACCUUGGUGGUUAUCAUUUAUAAGGUAAGUUCCCCUAAAUUAAAAUUACCGCCAUGUUGUUUAAGUUUUAACUCUUAUAGUUGUAGUACUCUGCAAAAUAAAAAUGGGCAUUUGUAUAAAGGGGUAUCUAAUCCCUGUUUAUCACUAAUGUUUGGAAAGAAAAUCACACAGAUAGAGCUACGAAUUGACAUAUUUCACCACUCAUGUAAUAGUACUGGUGUGUUAUUUUGCCAUUUACGUCCCGUUCCCAAAGUAUGACCGC